GGCGGGGCUCGUCCCUUUCGCCGGUUGUUAGCCUUCCCGUCGGUGGCUCGUCUCCCCGCGGAGGUAUCAUGACGUCCUUCGGGGCGUCUGCAUCUCCUCCUCGUUAGAAGUCUGGACGUGCAGUGGCGAGCGAAGGCAACCGCGCGGCCGCACUCCGCCGGAGUGGGCCAGCGUACGGUCGGCGCCGGCGGCCGCUGAGGACCAGUCGGAGGUCGGAGGUUAGCGGCGAGUAGGUCGGUCACCCACCCGACCCGUCUUGAAACACGGACCAAGGAGUCUAACAUGUGCGCGAGUCAAUGGGUCUCGAACAAGCCCAGAGGCGCAAUGAAAGUAAAGGUCGGCACCAGCCGGCCGAGUCGGGAUCCCCCGCGAGAGCGGGGGCGCACCGACGACCCGUCUUAUGCCGUUUACGGCUUGGGCGG
rnacentral:rRNA from 1 species